GGGUGCUUAAGGCUUUCUGUCUUGAGCAUAAGUUGAGGGACAGAAAGUGAAAAACCCCGGAAAUGUUUCCAUUAACCGGGGCUAUCCCUCAAACUACCAACAAGUUGAGGAUAGCCCCUUAUUCUUUUAUUAGCAAGGAGUA
rnacentral:antisense_RNA from 1 species